GUGGUAGGUGAGUAACUUAUUUUAAAGUUUUUAUUAUAAUAUCUUUUUGUUAAGUGUCUUAAUCUUGAUAUCUCUUUAAUAUUAUUUUUUGGUAGUGUUAAAUUCAUGGUAAUAUGUAGUAAUAUUUAUUGUAAUAUUCUUCCGAUAGUUGUUUUAAUCUGAAUAUUUCUUUAAUAUUAUUUAUGAUAUAUUCUAGAUAUAACAUAUCUUGGGUUCUUUGGUACAUAUAUAAAUUUUCCUCCAUUAAUUGUUCUAAUAGUUUUAUAUCUUCCAUAGCUUCUAUCCA
rnacentral:lncRNA from 1 species